rnacentral:rRNA from 1 species
UACAGAGGUCCCAAGCGUUGUUCGGAUUCACUGGGCGUAAAGGGUGCGUAGGUGGUGAAGUAAGUCGGAUGUGAAAUCUCGGAGCUUAACUCCGAAACUGCAUUGGAAACUACUUUGCUCGAGGGUUGGAGGGGGGACUGGAAUUCUCGGUGUAGCAGUGAAAUGCGUAGAUAUCAAGUGGAACACCAGUGGCGAAGGCGAAUCCCUGGAAAAUACCUGACACUGAGGCACGAAAGCUAGGGGAGCAAACAGG